UGAGAUCAGGAUCUGAGGCAGUAGAGAGGCAGGGCCUGAGUCACCCCCAGCAGGGCCUUCUUCAUUUGCCCUCCCUGGACCCUGGGCCCUUCAAGUCUCAUGUUUUUUUUUUUUUUUUGGACAGAGUCUCACCCUGUCACCCAGGCUAGAGUGCAAUGGCACGAUCUCGCCUCACUGCAACCUCUGCCUCCUGGGUUCGAGUGAUUCUCCUGCCUCAGUCUCCUGAGUAGCUGAUUACAGCAAUCCCUGUUUGGGCACCCGUGCUGGAGGCCCACGCCCUGCCCAAGCCUGUCAGCUGUACACAAGGGAAUGACUUUAUGCAGCUGCAAUGGACAAAACACCAGGCCAUUCCCUUUUCUGGAAAACCCUGGGAGAAGUGUGGCAGAAACACAUCAGUCGCCUCUUCUGAGGUCUUCCUACUUUCACUUAAGGGAUAGGAGACAUUUGAGCCAAAAAACCCAUUUCAUAAGCAUAAUCCCUCCUUGCUAGGUUGUUAAUGAGUUUUGCAAUCCUUUUCCUUUCGGUAAGUCACCUAACCUUAUCGAGAACAGUUCUCAAAACAACAGAUGAACUUAUUUGUGAGAAACCAUUAAGUAAUUAAGUAGGUUUGAGGACAGUUGGACAGAAAGCGCCACUAGGAAAUCUCUCCAUGAGGACUGGAGUGUUCGGGAGCCAGCGGAGCGCGCGGCACCGCUUAUUUACUAUGGAAGGAUGUCCGCUCGCUCAGUGUGCUCACUCCAUCUGCUCUUCAGUUUUAAGUGACUGACAAGGAGGAAAAUGCUUUUCCUCCCAUAUGCCUCACAUUGCCCCAGUGUUCUAGGUUUCUGCUACACAACUUAGCUACAGCUGCCUCUUUAGAUGCUAAAAUAAGAAAGUUCAGAAACGUGAGAAAAGAGAAAAAGCACCUGUGACCCCGUCUGGCACACCAUUUCCUCUGGGAACCCAGAUCUCACGCAGCCACCGUUGGGAGAAGCACACGUGGCUGCUGUGUUUCCUGAUUCCUGUUUCACUUGCAAGUCUUUCAAAUGUCCCCCACAGUCUCCUCUUUAAAGGACAGACGUGCCAGGCAGUGUUGCAUGUCCUGCUUUGUCAUUGCUGUUAUUGUUUUCUUAGAGAUGGGGUCUCACUCUGUCAUUCAGACUGGAGUGCAGGGGCAUGAACCCGGCUUACUGUAUCCUCAAACUCCUAGGCUUGAGUGAUCCUCCUGCCUCAGCCUCCCAAGUACCUGGGACUAAGAAUGCAUGUCAUGUGCCUGGCUAAUUAAAAAAAAUGUUUUUUUUGUA